AAGCUCACUUUGGCAGCAUAUAUACUAAAAUCAGAACAAUGCAGAGAAGAUUGCAAGGCCCCUGAGCAAGGAUAACACCCAAAUUCAUAAAGUGUUCCAUAUGUUA
ensembl:snRNA U6 U6 spliceosomal RNA